UUUGUAUUUGAAGAUUCAAAUGAGGUUCUUUGCUGAGCUCAUGUAUUUACUCAUACAUUUUUUAAAACUUUUCUAACAUUUUCUAGAUCAUAAUCAUGUGAGUGAUAUUUUAAAUCCAUAUUUUGGGACACAGUUCUAUAAGGAGCAUGCAUUUUGAAAGCUGUUAAUUUUUCUUUUUUUUUUUUAAUGUCAGGGAUAGGUACUUCUUGUCUGUUUAAUGCCCUUUUUUGGACAGAUUUUUAAAAUUUAAUGAUUUAAUCUGAAUGUCUGACAGAAUUUUAAAAUACUCAUUGAGAUAAGACAGGCCUUCGGCUGUUUUCUAGAUUUCAGUUUGUCUUUCUUUCGCUAAGGAAUAUUUUAGUAGGUGGAAGUGUACAGAAUUUGGUUUUUCAAUUCUAAUGAGUGACUUACUUAUAUGCUAUGCACCCAUCAAAUAUUUUAAUGCAAAAAUUGGUGGAAAAGCAUUUUUUAGAAACGGAGGACUUUACCUUACUCAUUUUGAAUAUUGUAAAUGUUAUGAAUGUAUUAUCUUCAGUUGUUCUAUGCUUUUAUCUUUAUUGCCGUUAUCUUUGCCUUCUUUUUUCAUUUACGCAGUGCCUGUAGUCAACUUAAUUAAAUUUUAAACUGCCAGAUAAUAGGACUGUGGCUUUUUGAGCUGGACCUUAACAGAUCUGAAUUUGACAGGCAGAAACAUAAAGCUUUCUGGCAGAGGGAAGUAAAAGGCCAUGAGGAGGCGUGGCUGCACGCGUGUGUUCAGGAAGCGGAAUGCAAUGUUGUGUGCUGCCGAAGAGAGCACGGAGGGAGAAGAGACAGAAUCCCGGACAAUGUCCACUGGCGCUGGGUCACAGGCACCCAGCCCGCCACCUUCUUCAGCGAGACCCGUGAGCGACAUCCAUGUUGCCCAUUUAUUACCCCCCACUCCUAUCACUUUUUAUUCCCCCUCUGCUGAGAAAUGCCUGCAGGUAACACCCAGUGAUGUGACACAUUUUUAGUAACUUCGUGGUGACAUCACUGUCUUCUCUGCUUACUGCAGCUUUUUGUUUGCCAAAUGCCCUUGCUUACCUGUCGUACACACAGUCCUUUGACCUUGAUUUCACCAGCAAAGUUUCGGGCCAGGAAGAACUUUCAGUUGUUUUCUCCAUCCCCCGACUUCUACCCGUCCAUCAACAAAAUCUUCUCAAAAAAGAUUCUUUUAAAAAAUCCAAAGUGGGAAAGAUUGAAUGAAGCACACACUUUCCAGCUAAUAGUGCAUCCUGCUCUUUAGUUCACAAAUCUGUUUCUCGUUUUGUUUUCCAUUUUAUCAUACACCCUCCAACCACCUCCCUGAACCAUGGGCAGCCAUUUAAAGCAUUUGUUAUUUUUGCUUCUCUUAUAGGUCAUCAAAAACCUGAAAGCAAAGGUUUUCUUUAUUUUUAUUUUUAUUUUUUUGAGACGGAGUUUCAAAAGCACUGAAGUGCAAUGGCACGAUCUCAGCUCACCACAACCUCCGCCUCCUGGGUUAAGGCAAUUCUCCUGCCUCAGCCUCCUGAGUAGCUGGAAUUACAGGCACGCACCACCAUGCCCAGCUAAUUUUUUGUAUUUUUAGUAGAGACGGGGUUUCACCAUGUUGACCAGGAUGGUCUUGAUCUCUUGACCUCGUGAUCUGCAAAAUUUUUAAAAAACUCAAAUCAUUCAUUAUCUUCAUAGCUUCAAGGAUACAGUGACCUAUCCAGAUACUGAUUUAAGAUUGAGGGAGAAGGCACUUACACCUAAUAAAGGGUCAUUCAUCCUAGUGAGGACCA
rnacentral:lncRNA from 13 species